AUGAACGCUGGCGGCGUGCCUCAUCCAUGCAAGUCGAGCGAACAGACGAGGAGCUUGCUCCUCUGCCGUUAGCGGCGGACGGGUGAGUAACACGUGGAUAACCUACCUAUAAGACUGGGAUAACUUCGGGAAACCGGAGCUAAUACCGGAUAAUAUAUUGAACCGCAUGGUUCAAUAGUGAAAGACGGUUUUGCUGUCACUUAUAGAUGGAUCCGCGCCGCAUUAGCUAGUUGGUAAGGUAACGGCUUACCAAGGCAACGAUGCGUAGCCGACCUGAGAGGGUGAUCGGCCACACUGGAACUGAGACACGGUCCAGACUCCUACGGGAGGCAGCAGUAGGGAAUCUUCCGCAAUGGGCGAAAGCCUGACGGAGCAACGCCGCGUGAGUGAUGAAGGUCUUCGGAUCGUAAAACUCUGUUAUUAGGGAAGAACAAAUGUGUAAGUAACUAUGCACGUCUUGACGGUACCUAAUCAGAAAGCCACGGCUAACUACGUG
rnacentral:rRNA from 1 species